GGGUGCGUAACACGUGAGUUACAUACCCUGCAGUGGGGAAUAGCCCGCCGAAAGGCGGAUUAAUACCCCAUGGUCCCGCAAGGGUAAAGGUGGCGCAAGCUGCCGCUGCAGGAUUGGCUCGCGGCCUAUCAGCUAGUUGGCGAGGUAACGGCUCACCAAGGCAACGACGGGUACCUGGUCUGAGAGGAUGAUCAGGCACACUGGAACUGAGACACGGUCCAGACACCUACGGGUGGCAGCAGUCGAGAAUAAUUCACAAUGGGGGAAACCCUGAUGGUGCAACGCCGCGUGGAGGAUGAAGGUCUUCGGAUUGUAAACUCCUGUCAUCCGGGAGUAAGACCUGACGGUGAAUAGCCGGCAGGGUUGAUAGUACCGGAAGAGGAAGGGACGGCUAACUUCGUGCCAGCAGCCGCGGUAAUACGAAGGUCCCCAGCGUUGUUCGGAAUCACUGGGCGUAAAGGGAGCGUAGGCGGCGUGGUAGUCAGAUCUGAAAUCCCGGGGCUCAACCCCGGAACUGCAUCCGAUACUGCCAUGCUUGAGGGUUGGAGAGGUAGCUGGAAUUCUCGGUGUAGCAGUGAAAUGCGUGGAUAUCGAGAGGAACACUCGUGGCGAAGGCGAGCUGCUGGACAACAUCUGACGCUGAGGCUCGAAGGCCAGGGGAGCAAAAGGGAUUAGAUACCCCUGUAGUCCUGGCAGUAAACGGUGUGCGCUUGGUGUGAGGGGAUUCGACCCCCUUGUGCCGGAGCUAACGCGUUAAGCGCACCGCCUGGGAAAGUACGGCCGCAAGGCUAAAACUCAAAGAAAUUGACGGGGACCCGCACAAGCGGUGGAGUAUGUGGCUUAAUUCGAUGCAACGCGAAAAACCUUACCAAGGCUUGACAUGGAUUUCUAAGCACGUGAAAGCGUGUGACC
rnacentral:rRNA from 1 species